rnacentral:rRNA from 1 species
AAAAAUUUCUUUUAAUAUUUUUUAGUAUUGCAUACUAUUAUGGGAAAAUUUUAUUUAAUAUAAUUUAUAGAAACGAAAAGUAAAAGAGUCUUUUGUUUUUAUUGUUACAAAAUAAAUAUUAUUUGACUCUGGUUUUGAUAUAACGUUUUUCGUAAUAUCUGUUUAUAUUUAAGCUAUUAGAAAAUUAUAGUUUAUAUAAAUCAUUUUGGAAAAAUAGAAUUUGAAGUGUUUUUAUCGUAUGUUUCAUAACUUUUUCUUGUUUGAGAUAUUUUAUUUUAUUAUCUUUUUGAUUUUAAAAGAUAUAUAAUCCCUUAAAUUAGUACCUUUAAAAAAUUAGAUUUUUAAUUUUAAUUUUAAUUGGAGAACUUGAUCUCUUGAUCAAAUGUUUUUUAAAGACUUAGGCUUUUAUUUAAAGCUUGCUUCUGCCCUAUGAUUUUUAAAUGGCAGUCUUAGCGUGAGGACAUUAAGGUAGCAAAAUAAUUUGUGCCUUUAUUGGGUUCCAGUAUGAAUGAAGUUAUUGGUUGGUUAUUUUCUUUUAUUUUAUGGGAACUUAAUAUUUAUUUAAUAAAAAAUAAUUGUGAUUAAACAAAGAUAAGUCUUCGGAAAUUCUUUUUAUAUUUCUUCUUUUGUUGUUUUAUAAAAUUUUCUAGGGCAGAAAUUUAUAUAAUUAUUUUUACUAAAAAUAAUUUAAUGAAUUACUCCGGAGUUAACAGAAAAUCAUAUCUUAUCCAGUUCUUAUGGUAUUGAUAAGUUUUACAUCGAUGUUGUAUUCCUAUAAACUAAGAAAGGAGAUAGCUUAGUUAUUGAGACUGUUCUUCUUUUAAAUAAUAGGACUUGAUAUUAGUUUAAUUCAUUGUGAGAUAGAAUUGUUUAUCUUGUUAAUCACUAAGAUUUAAUAUAUUUAUUAAAAGGAAAGCAUGA